CAGGAGGCAGCGCUCUCAGGACAUCUCCACCAUGGCCUGGGCUCUGCUGCUCCUCACCCUCCUCACUCAGGGCACAGGGUCCUGGGCCCAGUCUGCCCUGACUCAGCCUGCCUCCGUGUCUGGGUCUCCUGGACAGUCGAUCACCAUCUCCUGCACUGGAACCAGCAGUGACGUUGGUGGUUAUAACUAUGUCUCCUGGUACCAACAGCACCCAGGCAAAGCCCCCAAACUCAUGAUUUAUGAGGUCAGUAAUCGGCCCUCAGGGGUUUCUAAUCGCUUCUCUGGCUCCAAGUCUGGCAACACGGCCUCCCUGACCAUCUCUGGGCUCCAGGCUGAGGACGAGGCUGAUUAUUACUGCAGCUCAUAUACAAGCAGCAGCACUCUCCACAUGUGUGGUAUUCGGCGGAGGGACCAAGCUGACCGUCCUAGGUCAGCCCAAGGCUGCCCCCUCGGUCACUCUGUUCCCACCCUCCUCUGAGGAGCUUCAAGCCAACAAGGCCACACUGGUGUGUCUCAUAAGUGACUUCUACCCGGGAGCCGUGACAGUGGCCUGGAAGGCAGAUAGCAGCCCCGUCAAGGCGGGAGUGGAGACCACCACACCCUCCAAACAAAGCAACAACAAGUACGCGGCCAGCAGCUACCUGAGCCUGACGCCUGAGCAGUGGAAGUCCCACAAAAGCUACAGCUGCCAGGUCACGCAUGAAGGGAGCACCGUGGAGAAGACAGUGGCCCCUACAGAAUGUUCAUAGGUUCUCAUCCCUCACCCCCCACCACGGGAGACUAGAGCUGCAGGAUCCCAGGGGAGGGGUCUCUCCUCCCACCCCAAGGCAUCAAGCCCUUCUCCCUGCACUCAAUAAACCCUCAAUAAAUAUUCUCAUUGUCAAUCAG
rnacentral:lncRNA from 1 species